rnacentral:rRNA from 1 species
CCUACGGGAUGCAGCAGUGGGGAAUAUUGGGCAAUGGGCGCAAGCCUGACCCAGCAACGCCGCGUGCAGGAAGAAGGCUUUCGGGUUGUAAACUUCUUUUCUGAGGGACGAAGCAAGUGACGGUACCUCAGGAAUAAGCCACGGCUAACUAAGUGCCAGCAGCCGCGGUAAUACGUAGGUGGCAAGCGUUAUCCGGAUUUAUUGGGUGUAAAGGGCGUGUAGGCGGGAAAGCAAGUCAGAUGUGAAAACUCAGGGCUCAACCCUGAGCCUGCAUUUGAAACUGUUUUUCUUGAGUGCUGGAGAGGCAAUCGGAAUGCCGUGUGUAGCGGUGAAAUGCGUAGAUAUACGGAGGAACACCAGUGGCGAAGGCGGAUUGCUGGACAGUAACUGACGCUGAGGCGCGAAAGCGUGGGGAGCAAACAGGAUUAGAUACCCCUGUAGUC